rnacentral:rRNA from 1 species
UAGGGAAUCUUCGGCAAUGGACGAAAGUCUGACCGAGCAACGCCGCGUGAGUGAAGAAGGUUUUCGGAUCGUAAAACUCUGUUGUUAGAGAAGAACAAGGACGUUAGUAACUGAACGUCCCCUGACGGUAUCUAACCAGAAAGCCACGGCUAACUACGUGCCAGCAGCCGCGGUAAUACGUAGGUGGCAAGCGUUGUCCGGAUUUAUUGGGCGUAAAGCGAGCGCAGGCGGUUUCUUAAGUCUGAUGUGAAAGCCCCCGGCUCAACCGGGGAGGGUCAUUGGAAACUGGGAGACUUGAGUGCAGAAGAGGAGAGUGGAAUUCCAUGUGUAGCGGUGAAAUGCGUAGAUAUAUGGAGGAACACCAGUGGCGAAGGCGGAUCUAUGGUCUGUAACUGACGCUGAGGCUCGAAAGCGUGGGGAGCAAACAGG